UACGUAGGGGGCUAGCGUUGUCCGGAAUCAUUGGGCGUAAAGCGCGUGUAGGCGGUCCGAUAAGUCGGCUGUGAAAGUCAAGGCUCAACCCUUGAAAGCCGGCCGAUACUGUCGGACUAGAGUCCGGAAGAGGCGAGUGGAAUUCCCGGUGUAGCGGUGAAAUGCGUAGAGAUCGGCAGGAACAGCCCAGGGGAAACCAGCCGACUGGGCAAGUGCUGACGCUGAGGUGCGAGAGCGUGGGGAGCGAACCGG
rnacentral:rRNA from 1 species